GUAGGAUGCAAGCGUUGUCCGGAUUUACUGGGCGUAAAGCGCGCGCAGGCGGCUUUACAAGUAUGGCGUGAAAUCUCCCUGCUCAACGGGGAGGGUGCGUUGUAGACUGUAAGGCUUGAGGACGGUAGAGGGGGGUAGAAUUGCUGGUGUAGCGGUGAAAUGCGUAGAGAUCAGCAGGAAUACCCGUGGCGAAGGCGGCCCCCUGGGCCGUACCUGACGCUGAGGCGCGAAGGCUAGGGGAGCGACCCGGAUUAGAUACCCGGUUAGUCCUAGCAGUAAACGAUGGCUACUAGGUGUGGGGGGUGUUGACCCCUCCUGUGCCGAAGCUAACGCAUUAAGUAGCCCGCCUGGGGAGUACGGUCGCAAGACUA
rnacentral:rRNA from 1 species